UAGGGAAUCUUCCACAAUGGACGCAAGUCUGAUGGAGCAACGCCGCGUGAGUGAAGAAGGCUUUCGGGUCGUAAAACUCUGUUAUUGAAGAAGAACGUGUGUGACAGUAACUGGUCAUGCAGUGACGGUAUUCAAUCAGAAAGUCACGGCUAACUACGUGCCAGCAGCCGCGGUAAUACGUAGGUGGCAAGCGUUGUCCGGAUUUAUUGGGCGUAAAGCGAGUGCAGGCGGUCUUUUAAGUCUGAUGUGAAAGCCUUCGGCUUAACCGAAGAAGGGCAUCGGAAACUGGGAGACUUGAGUGCAGAAGAGGAGAGUGGAACUCCAUGUGUAGCGGUGAAAUGCGUAGAUAUAUGGAAGAACACCAGUGGCGAAGGCGGCUCUCUGGUCUGUAACUGACGCUGAGGCUCGAAAGCGUGGGUAGCAAACAGGAUUAGAUACCCUGGUAGUCCACGCCGUAAGCGAUGAAUACUAAGUGUUGGAGGGUUUCCGCCCUUCAGUGCUGCAGCUAACGCAUUAAGUAUUCCGCCUGGGGAGUACGACCGCAAGGUUGAAAC
rnacentral:rRNA from 1 species